rnacentral:rRNA from 1 species
CCUACGGGUGGCAGCAGUCGAGAAUCAUUCACAAUGGGGGAAACCCUGAUGGUGCGACGCCGCGUGGGGGAAUGAAGGUCUUCGGAUUGUAAACCCCUGUCAUGUGGGAGCAAAUUAAAAAGAUAGUACCACAAGAGGAAGAGACGGCUAACUCUGUGCCAGCAGCCGCGGUAAUACAGAGGUCUCAAGCGUUGUUCGGAAUCACUGGGCGUAAAGCGUGCGUAGGCUGUUUCGUAAGUCGUGUGUGAAAGGCGCGGGCUCAACCCGCGGACGGCACAUGAUACUGCGAGACUAGAGUAAGGGAGGGGGAACCGGAAUUCUCGGUGUAGCAGUGAAAUGCGUAGAUAUCGAGAGGAACACUCGUGGCGAAGGUGGGUUCCUGGACAUUAACUGACGCUGAGGCACGAAGGCCAGGGGAGCGAAAGGGAUUAGAUACCCUUGUAGUC